rnacentral:rRNA from 1 species
UCAGCACUCAGUCGCUUGCUGCUAUCGCGUGACAGAGUGGCGGACGGGUGAGUAAUGUCUGGGAAACUGCCUGAUGGAGGGGGAUAACUACUGGAAACGGUAGCUAAUACCGCAUAACGUCGCAAGACCAAAGAGGGGGACCUUCGGGCCUCUUGCCAUCGGAUGUGCCCAGAUGGGAUUAGCUUGUUGGUGGGGUAACGGCUCACCUAGGCGACGAUCCCUAGCUGGUCUGAGAGGAUGACCAGCCACACUGGAACUGAGACACGGUCCAGACUCCUACGGGAGGCAGCAGUGGGGAAUAUUGCACAAUGGGCGCAAGCCUGAUGCAGCCAUGCCGCGUGUAUGAAGAAGGCCUUCGGGUUGUAAAGUACUUUCAGCGGGGAGGAAGGGAGUAAAGUUAAUACCUUU